rnacentral:rRNA from 1 species
GAUGAACGCUGGCUACAGGCUUAACACAUGCAAGUCGAGGGGAAACGGCAUUGAGUGCUUGCACUGAAUGGACGUCGACCGGCGCACGGGUGAGUAACGCGUAUCCAACCUUCCCGUUACUGCGGGAUAACCUGCCGAAAGGCAGACUAAUACCGCAUGUUCUUCGAUGACGGCAUCAGAUUCGAAGCAAAGAUCCGUCGGUAACGGAGGGGGAUGCGUCUGAUUAGCUAGUUGGCGGGGCGACGGCCCACCAAGGCGACGAUCAGUAGGGGUUCUGAGAGGAAGGUCCCCCACAUUGGAACUGAGACACGGUCCAAACUCCUACGGGAGGCAGCAGUGAGGAAUAUUGGUCAAUGGGCGGAAGCCUGAACCAGCCAAGUAGCGUGCAGGAUGACGGCCCUACGGGUUGUAAACUGCUUUAUGCGGGGAUAAAGUGAGGGACGCGUCCCUUUUUGCAGGUACCGCAUGAAUAAGGACCGGCUAAUUCCGUGC